AGCUAGCCCGGUUUCUUUGGGGUACAGGUGGGUUUUUCCUACAGAGAUUAAAACAUGUAACACCUUAUGGAGAACAGCUGUCACUCAGAUGCCCCGCACAGACUGCAGGGGCUGACGGGGCCAGGACCUGACACGGCUGAUCUUUUCUGUAAACACGGAGGGUUCGCAUGGGCAGUGUCCCUCCAGGGCAGAGGAGUUCCUGGAGGCGGCGCUCAGGUGGUUUUAGAUCUUCUCCUCUCCGGGCAGUCACUUCCCACCGCCCCCAGAAGCGGCCAAACGUGCGCACUCGAUGGCACCAGCCCCGCGUUCCGCGGCGAGGUCCGCAUCUGGCCCCCCGCAGCAACCUAACCCCGGAGCAGCCUUUAAAGACAUGCUCCACUAGAAGAGCGAAUCCACGGCGCUGGUGCAUUCAAUGCAGCCAUCUUUGCCGCUGAAUAGCGGGUCCCUGCGGACGUGAAGUCUCCAGUGUGCUGCAGUGUGCAGCAUCCCACAGGCAACGACGACACAGAAGUAGCUGUGCUCCCCGUGGGAAGCCCGAAUGUAAGCAGCCGCUGGAGAACAAGCGCCUGAACCAACCCUGUUCUACAGCCCGACUGCAGCUCUCCAUCGGUCACAACCAAGAAACAAGGGAGUACCAGAACCUAAGACAGGAAGCGCCAAUGUGGUAGGGGUGAAGAGAAAAAACACACCCCAUGCAAACAAAGAAGAGGGGAGGAACAAAGUAGAAAAGAGCAUGGACCAGAACUGCAGGAAGCAUGGGGGAGAAGAGGAAAAAGGACCAGAUAC